rnacentral:ncRNA from 1 species
AAAACGUGGGAGCACAGACCAAAGGUGCGAAUAGCGAAGCAGGGUGGAUACAAACAGAUAAUAAGGGUUAUGGAGGGGGGGCGGCGUCAAUCAUGUCAACAAAAAUAUGAAUGAGAGAGAGAGGAAUCAGCCAAAAAAAGUUAGUUCCACGUAGAGAACGGAGGCAGAAGAAUUACACAUGUAAUCGAUGUGUUAUACAUAGGCAGAGAGGGAGGAACGUCCUACCAUCCGCUCAAGCCAAAUUCCGAUGCCUGGCGCGAUAAAGUGUGGGUUAGUGAGUUAGGGAGGGGAUAGAGGAGGGAGAAAGCCUGCAGUUAAACGGAGAAAAAAGUUAACCAUGGGGUAUCCCCGGUUGUAUUUCCUCCCAAGGAUUCCCUCUUGGAUGGGGAGUCUUUUCACCUUUGAAUUUCGAUUCAUUCGCGUUGUGGGGGUAGGAGUAGGGUCCCAAGAGUGUUGUAUUUUUUUGCCCUUUCAAGGCGUCGGUGUGUGGGGGACUAAAGAUCGUUAGGACAUUUGGGUCCUUCUUCGUUUCAGGGCGCAGGACACUUUAGGAAGAAGUGUUCCUUUUUCCGAGGGGCCCGGGAUGGACGGACCGCUGGUUGUACCCGGUAUUUGGCCCAACGGUAGGCCCUGGGUAACUAAUUCCCGGACGGGGUAAAGUGCUGGAAGCAUCUAAGCAGGAAGCCCCCUUCUGGAUCAGGUUUCCCACUGCCAACAGGAAUGGUUGGCCACGCGUCGACUAGUCAGGGGGGGGGGGGUGUAAGCACAGCAAUGUGUUGAGCCGACCGGUACUAAUAGAUCGAGGUCUUGACCUA